rnacentral:rRNA from 1 species
CUGGCAGUAAACGGUGCACGUUUGGUGUGGGCGCAAUCGACCGCGUCCGCGCCGGAGCUAACGCGUUAAACGUGCCGCCUGGGAAGUACGGUCGCAAGAUUAAAACUCAAAGAAAUUGACGGGGACCCGCACAAGCGGUGGAGUAUGUGGCUUAAUUCGAUGCAACGCGAAGAACCUUACCUGGUCUUGACAUGCAUUGUGUCUCCGGUGAAAGCCGGAUAGGGUAGCAAUACCCGCUUUGCACAGGUGC